AAAAAAUGCCAGCAGAGUAUUUUCCUCUGAUACCCAUGACAGCGCUUGUCUGCAGAUUCCAGAGCUCCCGGACACAACCCAGAGAUGAAGAGACCAUCCUCCCACUCUGUGACCCAUUUCAGAUUAGUUACUGCUUAUGAGCAGGGCUAAGCAAAAAUCCUUUAAAACCUGUCUCUGAGGAGGGCUGAUGUGAGCUCCAGAUGUUGAAGUAGACUGGCUGGAGACAGAGACUGCAGCGGGCUUCCCCAUACCUCCUUCCUCUCAUCUCAAGCCUGUAAUACCUGAUAUUUUGGUGUUUUGUUGGUUCUUUCGGC